UACGGGGGGGGCAAGCGUUGUUCAGAAUUACUGGGCGUAAAGGGCUCGUAGGUGGCCAACUAAGUCAGACGUGAAAUCCCCAGGCUCAACUUGGGAACUGCGUCUGAUACUGGAUGGCUUGAAUUCGGGAGAGGGAUGCAGAAUUCCAGGUGUAGCGGUGAAAUGCGUAGAUAUCUGGAGGAAUACCGGUGGCGAAGGCGGCAUCCUGGACCGAGAUUGACACUGAUGAGCGAAAGCUAGGGGAGCAAACGGG
rnacentral:rRNA from 1 species